UACGAGUGCCCCAAGCGUUAUCCGGAAUUAUUGGGCGUAAAGGGUGCGUAGGCGGUUUGGUAAGUCUGAUGUGAAAUCUAUGGGCUCAACUCAUAGUCUGCAUCGGAAACUGCCGGGCUUGAGUGUGGGAGAGGUGAGUGGAAUUCCUGGUGUAGCGGUGAAAUGCGUAGAUAUCAGGAGGAACACCUGUGGCGAAAGCGGCUCACUGGACCAUAACUGACGCUGAUGCACGAAAGCUAGGGGAGCAAACAGG
rnacentral:rRNA from 1 species